AGCUUUAAGAACAUAUUUUAAGUUACUUCUGCCCAGCGUUUAUAUUAGCGGCCGCAGUACCUUGACUGUGCUAAGGUAGCAUAAUCAAUUGGCUUUUAAUUGAAGUCUGGAAUGAAAGGUUUUAUAAAGAAUUAACUGUCUCUUUAAAAUUUUAAUGAAUUUAUUUAAAAAGUGAAAAUACUUUUUUAUAGAAAAAAGACGAGAAGACCCUUAGAAUUUUAAUUAAUUAAUUUAUUUAAAUUAUAUAUUUUUGUUGGGGCGACAAUGAAACAAUCAACUUUCAAUUAAAAACAAAUCAUUUUUUUAAAAGAUUAAAUUACCUUAGGGAUAACAGCAUAAUGAAUAAUUUAGUUUGUGACCUCGAUGUUGGACUAGGAACUAAAAGACUAACAGUCAUAAUAGAAUGUUCUGUUCGAACAAAAUUUCCU
rnacentral:rRNA from 1 species